rnacentral:rRNA from 1 species
GAUACUGGGAAGCUCGGAGUCAAGAAGAGGUAAGCAGAAUUCAUAGUGUAGCAGUGAAAUGCUUAGAUACUAUGAGGAAAUACCAACAGCGAAGGGCAGCUUACUGGUCUUGUACUGACGUUUGAGGCACGAAAGCGUGGGUAGCGAACAGGAUUAGAUACCCUGGUAGUCCACGCCGUAAACGAUGAUCACUCGAUGUACACGCUAGUCGUGUGUGUCUAAGCAAAAGCAUUAAGUGAUCCACCUGGGGAGUACGCUCGCAAGAGUGAAACUCAAAGGAAUUGACGGGAGUCCGCACAAGCGGUGGAGCAUGUGGUUUAAUUCGAUAAUACGCGAGGAACCUUACCUGGGCUCGAAUGUCUCUGCUACCUCGAGAAAUCGAGGGUUCCUUCGGGACAGAGUACAAGGUGCUGCAUGGCUGUCGUCAGCUCGUGUCGUGAGAUGUUGGGUUAAGUCCUAUAACGAGCGCAACCCCUUUACUUAGUUGCCAGCACAUCAUGGUGGGAACUCUAAGUAGACUGCCUGCGUAAGUAGGAGGAAGGAGGGGACGAGGUCAAGUCAUCAUGGCCCUUACGCCCAGGGCUACACACGUGCUACAAUGGCGUGUACAGAGGGACGCUACUUGGUAACAAGCGGCAAAUCCUCAAAGCACGUCUCAGUUCGGAUUGAGGUCUGCAACUCGACCUCAUGAAGCUGGAAUCGCUAGUAAUCGCGCAUCAGCAAUGGCGCGGUGAAUACGUUCCCGGACUUUGUACACACCGCCCGUCAAGCCAUGGGAGUUGGUAGGACCUAAAGACAGUGGCCAAUUAAGGAGCUGUUAAGGGUUAGAUCAGCGACUGGGGCUAAGUCGUAACAAGGUAACC